UACCCGAGCCAUCCGUCGAACCAGCCUGCCCCCGUCACGCCGCUUGCCAGUUGCAGUUUUGCGCUCCGUUAUUUAUCUUUUGGGCUGCAUGUUCCAAAAAACUGCCUCGUAAUACAGCUGAGAUCGUGGGUUCGAAUGAAAUUGGCAGUUCUCCCGUGGAUCCUCCGCUCCAUAUCGACGGCGCCGCCGCAAAAUCCCGCGAUUUGUUUGCUGGCGCCCUUGUAGCACUCACGCGCCGCGAAGCUCCUCCGUCGGUCAUCGUCGCCCUUCUGCCGCCUACCUGCUUGAUUGCGCGAGCUCGACCGGCGGAUCCAGCGCCGGCUCUGCAUCUUGCAUCGGAGGAGCACCGUCAUGCGCGGGCUAUUGGCUUCGGUGCCGACCUCGCAUUCGCCGCUCGCUCCAUCGACGAUCUGCGCCGCCCCAACCUCUACUCGUGUAGAGCAUGCCUAUCCCCCGGCCGAUUCGCAGCGUGGCUGGAGAAGGGAGCUCGAGGCCUCGAGCGCUGCCGCCCAUUCAUCUCCCGAGCCCAAGUGCCGACGGCCGAUUUGAGCCUGUCCUUCGCCGAUUCGAGCCAGUCCGCGCCGAUUCGUCGUCCUCCACAGGCCCUCCGUCCCAAGGUCGUCAGGCUGGAGGUCCCGCAGGUCCACUGCGGAGCUCGCUCACGCAGGCCCACGGCUGGAUCUCGCACGGAUCCGGCAAGGACUGGUCCGGCAGCUCCUUGCUACGACGUUCUUAUCGGGUGGCUUUUCAUUGGAGGCAGUGGUGAGAUUGAAGCCUUAGGGUCGAGGUAAGAGGCCAAGAGCAAUGAGCUCCGAGGGUGUACAAAGGCGCGGCCAGGAUGACAAAUGUGGAAGAGAGACCUGGACCAGAGAGAUACUGCAGACUUCGGGACCGCCGUCCCAGACCCUACUUCUUCAUCCCAGUGCUGAUUCCAUUUUGUGCUUACAUUGAUGCUUCAAGCAGUCGAUUUGCUUGUUUCUGCUGCGCAGCAACUGCUACAUGGCGCAGCCGAUGGCUUGCUCGGUGGGCAAGCUGCUUGACAGCCUUGCUGGCAGGGAUCCUUAAUGAUGCGGGCAACACAGAUCUAGCGACAGCCAGCGCAUGAUUGAUGCUAGUGACGCAUCAUCUUGUGCAAGACCAAGAACAGCAACAUCGAAUCCGUACUGGACAAAGCACGAGAGAUGACUUUGAACUUUCACCAUCUCAUAUCCAUCAGGUGCGGCUACGGGUGCAGUGGAACAUGGAGCAGUAAGCGAUGAUGUGGCCACAGGACAUACUCCAAUAUUGCAUCAGAGUAUGCUUGACUUCUGUUUGCACUAUGGAAGACAUAACAACAAGCUCUCAGAUGAUGAAGUUGUAUGCCAAUCAUUGGCUAGAUUGUAGAUUCAGGAUCUGUACAUUGGUUCCUGCAUGCUCAGUUCUACAGAGAUUUUUUUGUGUGGAAUUCUGGCCUUGCAAGAGUGAGAACUCUGUGAUCCAUGGUCCAAUAUUUAUCAUUCCUCAGGAAAGUCUAUCCAGUAUUCUAGUGCAGCAAUUGCAUGUACAAAACCUACUGACUCUUUUCUCUCCUUGUAAUGAUCACUAGGUGCUAUAAUUGUUGUACAAUUGUAUUACUUGUGUCUGGGAGCGUGAUGCUGAAUCCAGGUUCCUAUAUGCAAAUGCAUAAU